rnacentral:ncRNA from 1 species
AUAAACCCGACAUAUGCACUCUUCCGGCACAGGUUGGCGUAUCUUCCCCAAUCCCAGGCUGCAAUGCCGGCAGGGGGCAGUUUGUACAUAUACGUUUU